UACGGAGGGAGCUAGCGUUGUUCGGAAUUACUGGGCGUAAAGCGCACGUAGGCGGCUUUGUAAGUUAGAGGUGAAAGCCCGGAGCUCAACUCCGGAAUUGCCUUUAAGACUGCAUCGCUUGAAUCCGGGAGAGGUGAGUGGAAUUCCGAGUGUAGAGGUGAAAUUCGUAGAUAUCGGGAGGAACACCGGUGGCGAAGGCGGCGACCUGGGUCGAUACUGACGCUGAUGCGCGAAAGCGUGGGGAGCAAACAGG
rnacentral:rRNA from 1 species